GACGAACGCUGGCGGCGUGCUUAACACAUGCAAGUCGAACGGAAAGGCCCUGCUUUUGUGGGGUGCUCGAGUGGCGAACGGGUGAGUAACACGUGAGUAACCUGCCCUUGACUUUGAGAUAACUUCAGGAAACUGGGGCUAAUACCGGAUAGGAGCUCCUGCUGCAUGGUGGGGGUUGGAAAGUUUCGGCGGUUGGGGAUGGACUCGCGGCUUAUCAGCUUGUUGGUGGGGUAGUGGCUUACCAAGGCUUUGACGGGUAGCCGGCCUGAGAGGGUGACCGGCCACAUUGGGACUGAGAUACGGCCCAGACUCCUACGGGAGGCAGCAGUGGGGAAUAUUGCACAAUGGGCGGAAGCCUGAUGCAGCAACGCCGCGUGCGGGAUGACGGCCUUCGGGUUGUAAACCGCUUUCGCCUGUGACGAAGCGUGUGUGACGGUAAUGGGUAAAGAAGCACCGGCUAACUACGUG
rnacentral:rRNA from 1 species